UACGUAGGGCGCGAGCGUUGUCCGGAAUUAUUGGGCGUAAAGAGCUCGUAGGCGGCCAGUUGCGUCCGCUGUGAAAUCCCGGGGCUCAACCCCGGGCUUGCAGUGGAUACGGGCUGGCUAGAGGCAGGCAGGGGAGAACGGAAUUCCCGGUGUAGCGGUGAAAUGCGCAGAUAUCGGGAGGAACACCGGUGGCGAAGGCGGUUCUCUGGGCCUGUACUGACGCUGAGGAGCGAAAGCGUGGGGAGCGAACAGG
rnacentral:rRNA from 1 species